rnacentral:rRNA from 1 species
UACGUAGGGGGCAAGCGUUGUCCGGAUUUAUUGGGCGUAAAGCGCACGCAGGCGGUCUGUUACGUUCCCAGUGACAGUGCUCAGCUUAACUGAGCAAGGUCUGGGAAAACGGACAGACUUGAGGACUAGAGAGGGACAUAGAAUUCCGGGUGGAGUGGUGAAAUGCGUAGAUAUCCGGAGGAAUACCGGUGGCGAAGGCGGUUGGCUGGGCCACAACUGACACUGAUGCGCGACAGCGUGGGGAGCAAACAGGG